rnacentral:rRNA from 1 species
CGUUAGCGGCGGGCCUAACACAUGCAAGUCGAACGCGAAAGGUCUUCGGACUGAGUAGAGUGGCGCACGGGUGAGUAACACGUAGGUAAUCUACCCUUUGGCGGGGGAUAACGUUCCGAAAGGAGCGCUAAUACCGCAUAAGACCACGGAGUCUCCGGACGCUGUGGGAAAAGGUGGCCUCUUCUUGAAAGCUACCACCGAAGGAUGAGCCUGCGUCCCAUCAGCUAGUUGGUAAGGUAAUGGCUUACCAAGGCGAAGACGGGUAGCUGGUUUGAGAGAAUGAUCAGCCACACUGGCACUGGAACACGGGCCAGACUCCUACGGGAGGCAGCAGUGAGGAAUAUUGGGCAAUGGGCGAAAGCCUGACCCAGCCACGCCGCGUGAGUGAUGAAGGCCCUCGGGUCGUAAAGCUCUGUGGAGAGGGACGAAAACCCUGGUUUCAAAUAGGCUCCAGGCUUGACGGUACCUCUUUAGCAAGCACCGGCUAACUCUGUG